ACUUCCAGGGGCCCUGAGUUUCCACAAGGAGCCAAGAGGAACAAUGGAGCUUCUCUCUGCCAGACAGCUGGGAGGCGGCCUCAACCUCAGCAAGGAACUCUCUCCCCACGACACCGCCUUAACGCAGGAUACCAGCGGGGAGCAGAUCAGGCGAAGGUGCCAUCUCUGACUUCCGGAUGACCCAUCCAGGAGACUAAAAGAACCAGGGCCCACCCAGCUUACAGCUCAAAGCAACUCCCAGACAGACAGCUUAGUGGCCGUGCAUGGGGACACCUGGCCUGCCCAUACGGCCCCACCUUGGAAGGUUUGGAAAGCUCCAGAUCGUUUGAGUUUUAUGGACUUGUUGUUUCUUCCAAAAAACUGUUUCUACAAAGCAGAGACAGAUAACAUUGGUAAAAGAUGCUGAGAGUUAAGAUACCAUCAUCUACUCUGACUUUGGCAACUGGCUCAUGAGGCAAUACUAACAAACCUCAGAGGACAGCAACAGCGUCACAGCUUUAAGAAGGGAUGGAGUUAAACAUGAUCAAUCGAGCCAAG